rnacentral:lncRNA from 1 species
GGGAUCGAGCCUAAGCCAGCAGUGGACGGGCCUCCCAAUCAGGAGGCUUAGGCUCUGCGGAUGGGCUACAAGAUUUCCAGAAGAAUUGGUCAGCACCCUCACGGGGCCCCUGUUGCUACGCACAGCACCCUCCCACCUCACGCUGCCCAGCCCAACCCUCCUCCAACCAUUCAGAGAGGGCUAGGCCCUCAGACGGCACCAAGCCAGUCCUCUGGGCCCAGGCUGAGUCACCAGACCCCAGCCUGAGGCCUCACAGCUCCUCAGAGGACAAGCGCGACCGGGACCCAUAUCGCCGGCUCCCGGUGAGUGCCCACGGCCUCACGGUGUGGUCUCCACGCUGUAAGAGCACAGGGCUCUCUUGAGGGGCUGGGUGGGGGGUGGUUAGAUUCUGGCCCAGGAGGUCUGGGGAAGGGCCCCGGAAUCUGCAUUCUCGGUCAACUUCCCAGGAAAUGCCCAGGUCUCCCAGGGGCUGCCAUUCUGUCCUAUGCUUUGAGACUGAAUGGCAGUUCAAGGUCUGAGACUCAGGCAAGACAGGACUAAUUAUCCCCAUUCUACCGGUGACGACACUGAGGACCCAAAAGCGUGCAAUUUCGCCAGGUAAAUUUCACAGACAGCCGGGCCUGGUGCUGAGUACGCAUGGCUCCUUAGUUGGUGGCUUCCAGACAACAGUCCCCUGCCAUCUCCCCAGGGGAGGGCAGGAAUGGCCCUGAGAUCAUCUCCGCCUCCCCCGCCCCCCAGUGAUAACACUUAAAGGCCCCAGUCCUGGAGAGAUGAUGAUGUCUCCCCUUCUCCCCAACGCAACCCUAAAUAAAAUCAGCACUAGACGCUAAAAUAACCGUGAG